UACGAAGGGGGCGAGCGUUGUUCGGAAUUACUGGGCGUAAAGGGCGCGCAGGCGGCUCUGAAAGUCAGAUGUGAAAGCCCCGGGCUUAACCUGGGAAUUGCAUUUGAUACUCUGGAGCUUGAGUACGGGAGAGGAGAGUGGAAUUCCCAGUGUAGAGGUGAAAUUCGUAGAUAUUGGGAAGAACACCAGUAGCGAAGGCGGCACUCUGGGCCGGAACUGACGCUGAGACGCGGAAAGCGUGGGGAGCAAACAGG
rnacentral:rRNA from 1 species